ensembl:lncRNA
GCGGAGGUGUUCCGUGUCCCCGAGCCGGAGCCGACUACGGAGGUGUUCCGUGUCCCCGAGCCGGAGCCGACUACGGAGGUGUUCCGUGUCCCCGAGCCGGAGCCGACUACGGAGGUGUUCCGUGUCCCCGAGCCGGAGCCGACUACGGAGGUGUUCCGUGUCCCCGAGCCGGAGCCGACUACGGAGGUGUUCCGUGUCCCCGAGCCGGAGCCGCCGACUACCCAGGAGGUGUUCCGUGUCCCCGAGCCGGCGCCGCCGACUACCCCGGAGGUUUCCCGUUUCUCAGAGCCUGCCAUUCCUGAGACGUUCCGUGCCCUGUGGUCACCGCUCCGGAGCCGGCGAAAGGACCGCCCGCCGGGCCGACCCCCAGAGGCUCCCCGCUCGUCUGGCCGCCCGCCGGGCCGACCCCCAGAGGCUCCCGGGUGGUCCGACCAACGUCUCGGGUUUCCCUCCCCCCCUCCCCUUGUUUCGCUCUAGUGUGAGCCGCCUGGAAGUCGGCCCUUGAGGGGGGGGUACUGUCACGGUGUGGUUCACUUCCUGUCUUAUUUUGUAGUUUUCUGCCACUCGUGUCCCCGGGUAACUUCACUUCCUGCCUUGUCUCGUCAUCCCCUGUGUUCGUCUAAUAGUUUCCACCUGUGUCCAAUCACCUGCACC